UUCAAAGAAUAAGAAUCACAGAAUGGUUGAGGUUGGAAGGGAUCUCUGGAGGUCAUCUGGUCCAAUUCCCUGUUCAAGCAGAGACAUCUAGAGCCACUUGCCUAGGAUCAUGGACAGCUUUUGAAGAUCCCCAAGGAAGGAGAUUCCCCAGCCUCCCUGGACAAGCUGAUGUUCAGAUGGAGCCUCCUGUGUUUCUAUUUGUUGAUUGCCCUUUGUCCUGUCACUGGGCACCGCUGAGAAGAGCCUGGCUCCAUCCUCACUGCAUCCUCCCUUCAGUUCUUCAUGUCAAAGCUGGUUUGCUUUACAAAAGAAAUAGAAGAAGACCAGACUCCUUAUCUCUACUGACAUUCCAGUUCCCUCUGGCAGAGGAAACAUUUCAGGAAGAGACCAACACACUUCUCAAGAUUGUAAUAACUUCUCACUGUAGCUCUAAUCAUAGUUAAACAAAGAUAGAAGACUGCUGAGGUUUUCUGUGCCAUAUGAUUCAUUACAUUCCAUUUGGCUAUGGAAACCCUGGAAACAAUUACACGGUAUUUCAGAACAUGCAUUUAUGUUUAUAAAAUCUCUGGCAUAGUUCACGGAUUCAUCAGACUUACUUGAAAAUUCAAACGCUACUCCUCUGGAAAAUAAGAAAAUCAAAAGGUACAAUCAGAUUUUUCUUCCUCAACAACUUUAAAAUCCUUUCCAUUCCAAGACCAUGUGUUUAUUCUGAAGAUUAACUCCAAUUUAUAUUACCUCUCUCAAAGAAGCCAGAAGCAGAAGUCUGACAUACCCUGAAUAUACCUGCAAAGAGAAGCAAAAACAGUGGUAAAAUUGGAAACCAGACACUCCAAAUGAUCAGUGGACUAACUUACAAAUGUCUUUUGGAUUGAGAAGAAUAGAGAAAACAAAAUAACAAUAAUAUUAAUAAAGCAUAAGGAGGAUUUUUUUUAAAAAACAGAAACCAACCAACCAACCAAAAACAACAACAACAAAAAUAAAACCUAAGAAGAUUAAUCCUUCAUAGUAUGGAGCACUGCAGAAGAAAAUUUAUUUUCUUCCAGUGUGUCUUCAUGUUUUUUUAACCAUAUUUCUUUCAAUCAGAUUUCCGUAUCAGAUCAAAGUCACAGAAUUCACAAACAAUUCAAGUCUUAUUCCAAGGCUUCCAGGAUUGCAUUCAGGCUACCAUGGCUGACUGAAGAAGAUGGAAAUCAAAGCAAUCAUUAGGUGGUCUAAAGCCAUCAGUUGGAGGGGUGAAACAUGAAGUGCUCUAUAUCUGGAUUUAUACCUGACAAGCAAGGUAUUUGCUGCUGUUCUCCUGAAGAAAGCUGUCAUGCUGCUGAGCAUACUUGCCAUUGAUUUUUAUUUCAGAAAGAAACAUAAUCUUGGCCUCCAUGUGUGUAAAGCCAUGAAAUCACAGUCACAAGGCUGAACAGCAUUUGUUAUAUUAUAUAUAGUGAACUCCUAUUUGAACCUCAGAAAAGAGCUCCUGUUUCAUAUCAGUAUUCCUACAGACAAGCACAGCUUAAAAGAAUGAAUGUGCCCCAAUCACCUGCAAUACUCUAAAAUCCCUUAUUUGCUUGGAGAGAAGAUAUUCAGCUACCUGCCAGAAGUUUUCAUGCUUGAAUACAGACUCUGAAUAAAACCUGACAUUGAAACACAUGGAAUAACACUUCUAUUCAUGAGACCAAAUCAAUUUUAAACAUGAUCCAAGUGGAAGCAACUAUCAGCUUCGGUAGCUUUGAAUCAACUUAUUGUUAUUAUAAAUAUAAGUGAGAGGAUUUAUGAAAAAAUACUGUGCAAAAAUGAAGUGUAUACUGUUUCAACAGUUGUGAGCCACAGGAAGUUCAACCACCUCAGAUUGACAAGAGGUACAAAUUAUUAUAGUGCCAGGAUAGUGGGGUCACAGAUGGAGCAGCAUUUACCUAUCCUUGGAUCAACCUGUGGUGUACAAGAGAGACCAAGAAGGCUGUGAAGAAACUAACUGCUGCAAUAUAGAAAAUUCUCUUGUCAUAUUAAGAAAAAAAUUAUAUAUAUACAAUGAGGGUUUUCAAACAUUGUGGCAAGUUGGCCAGAUAUGUCAUGGAAUUUCCAUUUUUUGAGAUAGUCGGAACUCUGCUGAACAUGAAACUUUAUAUAAAAUGACUGCUUUUUGAGCUGGAGCAGACAAUAUCCACCGAUUCCUCCCAUCCUAAACUACUUUGUAACUUCACUGAACAAUGUCACAAUCUAACAUUAUAAUUUUUUUUCCCAACAUAGCUCUAAAAUAAUCAUGUUAUCACUGUAAUAUUGUUUGAUUUUUGUUCUUGCAUGGUGUCUUUUGAAAAAAAAAAGUAUUAAUGGAUUAAAAGAAGGUAUUAAGCCAUUACAAAGAAACUAUUAUAGGGAAAUGUGAAAAAAAGCUUUUCAAUAUGCAUUAAGCCCAAUUAAAUAUGUAAACACUAUGCUAAUUUUAGCUUAUUUCUUCCACUCCUGAGUAGUACAUAAACUGCGACAGUUUAGGGGUAUAUAGCUGACAUUGGGACAGACAUGCUAGGGAGUGUAGACAACAGGCUGUAUGAGUGUUUCAGCUAUUUUUUCCCCUUGAAUUUUCUGUCUUCAUUGACUGAGACAAACGAUGCUGUAAAAACUGCCCACUGGAUGCAAGUAAGGGACUUUGAGAGACAGUUUCACAGCUUUUACAAUCAAAAUGCACCUUUAGGAUCAUCUAGUCUGCUUAAUUGCCUGUUACACACUGCAGCACCUCACCUAGCAAUUUCUGUAUAAGCUCAUAACUGUUUUAAACUGCAGUUCAUGACAUAGUUUUCUUUAAAAAAUCUGCAGUACUUUGUAGGGCAAUUGUUCCAGUGGUUAAUUGUCCUGUCUGUUAAAAAUCUCCACUUUAUGUCUACUUAUAUAGCAUCUUACCUUCAUUUCCAACCUGUCAAUGUCACUGAAUUUUCUCUAGAUUAAAGAGUCAUCUACCAUCAGAAACUUUUCUCCAGUAUGUCUCUGAGGGCCACAAUCUAACUAUCUAUGACAGUGAUAUUAUUAGGUGAAAAACAAAAACAAACAAACAAAAAAAAAAACACCUCCCCACAGUUGAGCUCAUUUAUUCCCUCAUUUUCAUACAAGUCUCCCCAACUUUGAGUUAUUACUAUAGUAUUCUGCCUCUUGUCUGCAGAAUGGAUACUGGGAACAGCAUUACAACAACUGUCUUACAAGAGCAUUUCACAAACUUGGUUAUAUUCAUCCAUACUUUCCACUUGAAUGCAUAUGAAAUUUGUGUGCUAAGACUUGCAUCCUAUUAUGUCUGAAGUUGGUUCUGAUACUAUCCAUAAUCAUCUCAAGGAUUUAGUGCCCAAAUUAGGAUCUAAAUCUUGCAUUAUAUCCUGUUUGGUAGCCUUCCUAUGCCCAAAACCACAAGGCUCCUGAUGUUCAUAGACGCCUUUUUUGUUUUACUUAUUUAUUUAUUUUUAAUGCUAAUUCCUGAAGCACUUACAAUUCUCCUAUGGGGCAUACUUAGAAAAAUACCAGGCUUGAUAGUGACAGAACUCAGUUGCUAUCAUAUGUCUAAGCCUCCUGUGUAUCGACACACUGUACAUUCUUUUUUUACCUCGGUGAUUUGAUGCCACAAGCAUGUGCUAAGACCAUUUACAGGUUUGCCAUUAGGAGUAUUCUAUAAGAAGUACUCUCUUUAAAAUAAAAUGAGAGGUGGUGGGAGAGACAGUCUUAUCCUUCCAUCCUUAUGUGUUAAUUUAUUACCAAGUAUACUAAAUCCAUGUAUCUAGCCUAUGCAUUACUACGCUGUUAAAGCAGACGAGUCCAGGGAGUGAAUUCUAGGACUGAUUUUGCUGUUAGCACCAAUCUGCUACAAGAAGAGGUAAAUGGGGAAUAAUAGGGGCAGUGUCUUCCUUGUGAGUCCUGACUAUACUGUGCAUAGAGCACAAAAGCUGUACAUGGUGUGACUUUGUACCCUCAUAGAUACAAAGCCAGUGUGAUAUUUACUGUGCCAUAAAUGCAGCGAGUCUGCUUUGGAGGAAAGGAAGGUGCAUGGGAUUUUUGGAUGUGAAUUCAAGACACUCAUUGGAAGUUGUGAGCCAGGCAUCCUUUUUGAGCCUAUUUUAUUAAGCAGUAUACACCCAGCCAAAGCUUCCUUUGCUGCAAACUGUAAAUCUGCACAAAGCCAUCCUUCCACAAGCAAUAUUUGUAAUUGCUAGGAAUUAUUUUUGGGUCAGGGUGCUCGUCUGAUUUUUGCAUAGAAUAGUGACAGGCCCACUGGGCAGUUAGAAAAUUAAAUAAUAUGGUAACUUAAUGGUUAGGACAUUCACCAAAAAGGAGGGGAACCAACUCUUAAACUAAGCUCCUUUCCAGAAGGUAUUCAGAACUUUUAUACAAGUCUCCUUACAUAAAGUAAACGUACAGUUUGGGAAGCAGUCAUAUUUCACCAGCUAAUUCUUACUGUAGUCACCUCUUCUCCCAUCCUGAUUUAACAAUGAAAACCCUUCUUUUUUCUUUUUUUUUUUUCUAGGUUUUGAAAGACAUACAAACCUAGCAACAACAACAAAACAAAAACAAACAAAACAACAACAACAAAAACAGCAGAGAUUAUUUUAGUGAAAUCUGAGGCAUUUUCUGGUGGGGGUAGCACCUUGAUGUGUCAGAAGAUUUAAGACGUUGCUGAGAUAAACAAUUCCCAUUGGCUAAUUUAGGCAGCUAAUCAUUCAGACUUAAAGCUUUUCUGAUUUUUAUUCAAAGGUGACUGACGUGCUUUUGCUUUAAACAGAGAGCUUAGUUGCCUUAUUCUGAGCUACCAGAGCCCUUAUAUGAAUCAGGUGUCUACUUAAUGGAUAGAGACCUAUGUCCUAUUCCUUGAUGUUAUCAGGUAUCAAUUUUAUCAGCUUGUAGUUAUUAUACGUUUUUUAAGACUGUCAUAUUAUCUUUUCCCUUCUGUAUCCUUCUAAUUACCAAAGUAUGGUAUAUAUAUGAAAUAUUUCUAAUUUUCGUUUUUACUUUUUUUUCUAAGUCAUGUUAGUUCUUUCAGCAAGUAUCAGUUUUUACUGUUGUAAAUUUUACAUUUCAUUUGUUCUGACUAAAUUUAUAAAAAUA